AGUAAUGUAUGGGGAUCUGCCCGAUAGAGGGGGAUAACUACUGGAAACGGUGGCUAAUACCGCAUAAUGUCUACGGACCAAAGCAGGGGUUCUUCGGACCUUGCACUAUCGGAUGAACCCAUAUGGGAUUAGCUAGUAGGUGGGGUAAAGGCUCACCUAGGCGACGAUCUCUAGCUGGUCUGAGAGGAUGAUCAGCCACACUGGGACUGAGACACGGCCCAG
rnacentral:rRNA from 1 species